UUUAUUCGUUUCUAAUACAUUCGCUUAUAGUCCGUCCGCCCUAUCGUUUCGUUUGGAAAAUUCAGGAAAAUACAAAGUUAAAAGAUUAUCUACAGUUGUCUGACAUUAAAGUUACUAUGGGUCAGACUUACAGUACACAAGCAUCUAGUGAUAUUGAUUCAUAUCUGACAAGCAAGAAAAAGGUUGAAAAUCAGAAACUUGUCAGAAAGACUCAAUCAGUAACACCGCUUCAAAAUCGAACAGAAAUUCAGCAAAUUCAGGAAUCUUGCUCCACGCAAGCCACGUUUCUGGAAGAGGACCAGAAAACAUUGAACCCAGCAUUCCCUACUCUUGCAAAAGAAGAGGAAUCAAACAAGCUGCUUGAAGAUGAGAUGACAAAGAGCCGUCUCCUGGGGGAAAGAGUUGA